rnacentral:rRNA from 1 species
AACGAACGCUGGCGGCAUGCCUAACACAUGCCAGUCGAACGAGACCUUCGGGUCUAGUGGCGCACGGGUGCGUAACGCGUGGGAACCUGCCCUUAGGUUCGGAAUAACUCCCCGAAAGGGGUGCUAAUACCGGAUAAUGUCUUCGGACCAAAGGUUUAUCGCCUUUGGAUGGGCCCGCGUUGGAUUAGCUAGUUGGUAGGGUAAAAGCCUACCAAGGCGACGACCCAUAGCUGGUCUGAGAGGAUGAUCAGCCACACUGGGACUGAGACACGGCCCAGACUCCUACGGGAGGCAGCAGUGGGGAAUAUUGGACAAUGGGCGAAAGCCUGAGCCAGCAAUGCCGCGUGAGUGAUGAAGGCCUUAGGGUUGUAAAGCUCUUUUACCCGGGAUGAUAAUGACAGUACCGGGAGAAUAAGCACCGGCUAACUCCGUG